AGAGAGAGAGAGAGAGAGAGAAAGAGAGAGAGAGAGAGAGAGAAAGAGAUAGAGAAAUUAGGGCGAAAGAGAAGAGAGAAGGGAAGAAAACUAUUUUAGUUUAACUUAGCAGCGAAUUGUGCCUCGAGUGACUUAUUAGUUGACUUUUCUGCGAUCACGAAUAUUUUUCUGAGCAUCCCGAUCUCUUGUAACAUUCCUCGGUUCUUGUAGAUAACGUAUAUAUUAAAAUGCAGACAGGAAGACUUUACAAGACUGCUAAGAGAGAGAGAGAAAGAGAGAGACCCGACGAAACGGAGUUAUUAGACAGGUGAUCGGUGUUAGGUUGUCAGGUAGAACGAGACGCUAAACAAGAGAAUCGCAAUUAUAUGCUCUCGUAAAGCAUUAUGAGUAAACGAACUAUUACUCUCUGCUGAUAAUAUAAAUAAAUAAAUAAAUGAAUAAAGAAAUAAAGGAAAAAAGAAGAAGAAAAAAAAUAACAAAAACAAAAAAAGACACUUGUAUUAUAAACAUAGCAAAUAAUGUUAUUAAUAGAAAAUGUACGAGGAGGCGCGUUACAUCUUGGAUCGAUAUUUCAUUGUUGAAAAGUUAAAACAACAAUGAUGGAAUAUGAUUAUUGUGUAUGUGCUGAACGAUGAAAAAAUGACCGCAAUAGGUAGAAAGAUUUCAAUGAGUGGUGGUAUGAACUAUUAUUAACUGUAUAUGAUGAACGUUUGCGUAAUCGCAUGUCUGUGAAAAAUAACGAAAAAGCGUUUUGAAAUCGAGAAUAAUUUAUUUAUUCAGUUUACGUCGAACACCCCUCUCGAUCGUUUAAUUUUACAAUCGAGUAUCACGCGAGUAUCCUAUUAGAAUUCUUCUUUAAAAGUGACGACGGAUAUGGAUCGAAUUAUUUUUUCUGAAUAUAUAUAUUAAAUUAAAUAUGCAUAUGAUUUAAUUAAGAAUUAAUAUUUAAAUAUCGAGUUAACCACUUUAAGAAGAAGGUGGUAUCAUGAAAAAUGAUGAAAUUUAUUCUAAAUUAAUAAACAAAUUCACGUUUUCGUUAACUUAAGUUUGUUUCACGAUUUAAUUUUUUUUUAUUCUUUAUUUUUUUUUUAAAUGAAUAAGUUCAAUCCAUUUUACCAUCUGAAACUUUUAGAAAGAACAUAUACGGAAUAAUUAAUAAUGCGAUCGUUGCCAUGUUCUUAGGAUCGAUCGAUCGAUCCUUUGAAAAAAAAAA